rnacentral:tmRNA from 1 species
GGGCUUGUAAAGGUUUCGACGGGGGUUUUGAAGUUGGAGCAGCCAUCCGAAGGUACCGCGUAAGGUGCAAACUUAAAUAUAAACGCUGAAGAUAAUUUAGCAGUCGCUGCCUAACGGCAGCUGUCUGACGCGGAGCACCUGCACUCUGCGACUCAGGCAUCGACGAUGCAGGAAACGACAUAUGCUAAGCUUUGCGCAUAUGGGCGUAUCAUGAAGCUACUGAAGCCGUAAGCCUGCCGGUUGGCGUACGGCGGAGGGAAUGUCAAAUAAGCGGCUGUGAUGGGAGAUACUGCAAUGGAUGGGCUUUCGGACGCGGGUUCGAUUCCCGCCAGGUCCA